CAGCAUCUUUAAGGAAAAGAAAAAAAUCUUAUCAAAAUUAUUUAAUCACAACCUUUUAACUGCUGGAACCAAAGGUUAAAUAAAAGCCAAAUCUUCAUGAGGAAAAACUCUGGUCAAUAAAUAUAGCCUGUUUUGGUUACCAUAUAAGGUACCUCAGGAAAGUGAUACCCAUCUUAUACCACUGGUGGCAUCAUCGUGAGUCCUUAGCAUGGGCAAAGCUCACUAUUUAUCGAUCAACACUCAUAAAACAGCAUAAUAAUAAAGGCCAUUUUCAACUCUGGAUCUGUUACUGGUAAUUGGUAAGGAAUCUAUGAAAAGCUUUAUUCCUGUUCAAAUGUCAUAUGCUGUAUGUUACAGGUUUAACAAUUAAUACACCAGCAGUUCCGUGUUCCACCUACAUACCCACGGGCUUGAUGCGUAUUGUGAAUGGGCGGAAUGAUGGUCCCGGAAAAGAUAUGUCCAUGUCUUAACCCCCCGGACCUGUGAAUGCAAUUCUUUUUGGAAAAAAGGCUCCUUGCAGAUGUAAUUAAGGAUCUCAUGAUGGGAUCACCCUGAAUUAUCUGGGUAGGCCCUAAAUCCACUGAAAGUUUCCUUAUGAGACAAAAGAGGAGCAGACAGGCAUGGAGAAGAGUGUGAGACUGGAGUUAGGCAGACACAAGAGAUGCCGACAGCAUAGCCACAAGCCGGAAGAAGGAAGGGAAGAGCUGUUCCCUGGAUCCUUCAGAGGGAGCACAGCACUGCCAACACCUUGCUCCUAUACUUCUGGCCCCCGGAAGUGAGAGAAUAAAACUUUUUUUUAAGCUA